AGCUUUACUCACAGACAAGCCUCCCAAGCCAUUGUUUCCCAUGGAGAAUCAGCCAAGUGUUAUAGAUGUCCAGCUGGGCACGCAGCCAAGAAAAUUUCAAUAUACACAUUGAAUGAACAACUCUACAAGAGGAUUGUAACUAAAGAUGACUCUAGCACACUUUGGUUGUUAAUGAAGCAUUCAAGAUGAUACUCCCCUGUAAACAAGAAGAUCAUAGGGACCAGUGAUCAAGGCCAAGAGUGGCCAUUGAUCACCUCAAGAAGUAGCUACCCAAUUCUGAGGACUUGCUGCUUUGGGCCCAGAGUAUCAUAUAACUCAUAGGAGACCAUCAAGCUUCCUUUUUCAGACAUGGUUUCCUGUGUUUGAUUUUAGGUCUCAUUUUACUCUAAGACACUUUCCUUAUUUUUAAUAUUCUCCCAAAUUCAGAAAGAUAUUACUUUCAUGACCUUGUCAUAAUUAACAAUAGCUAUUUCU
rnacentral:lncRNA from 1 species